rnacentral:rRNA from 1 species
UGAACGCUGGCGGUAUGCUUAACACAUGCAAGUCGAACGGAAACGAUACUAGCUUGCUAGUAGGCGUCGAGUGGCGGACGGGUGAGUAACGCGUAGGAAUCUGCCUGAUAGUGGGGGAUAGCCCGAAGAAAUUCGGAUUAAUACCGCAUAAUCUAUUCGUAGUAAAGUGGGGGACUUUCGAGCCUCACGCUAUCAGAUGAGCCUGCGUAAGAUUAGCUUGUUGGUAGGGUAAAAGCCUACCAAGGCGACGAUCUUUAGCUGGUCUGAGAGGGUGAUCAGCCACAUCGGGACUGAGACACGGCCCGAACUCCUACGGGAGGCAGCAGUGGGGAAUAUUGGACAAUGGGGGCAACCCUGAUCCAGCAAUACCGCGUGUGUGAAGAAGGCCUGAGGGUUGUAAAGCACUUUCAAUUGUGAAGAAAAGUUAGCGGUUAAUAACCGUUAGCCUUGACGUUAACUUUAGAAGAAGCACCGGCUAACUCCGUGCCAGCAGCCGCGGUAAUACGGAGGGUGCAAGCGUUAAUCGGAAUUACUGGGCGUAAAGCGUGCGUAGGCGGUUUAUUAAGUCAGAUGUGAAAGCCCCGGGCUUAACCUGGGAACUGCAUUUGAAACUGGUCAACUAGAGUAUGGUAGAGGAAAGUGGAAUUUCUGGUGUAGCGGUGAAAUGCGUAGAUAUCAGAAGGAACAUCAAUGGCGAAGGCAGCUUUCUGGACCAAUACUGACGCUGAGGUACGAAAGCGUGGGUAGCAAACAGGAUUAGAUACCCUGGUAGUCCACGCCGUAAACGAUGAUAACUAGCCGUUGGGGGGAUUUACCCUUUAGUGGCGAAGCUAACGCGUUAAGUUAUCCGCCUGGGGAGUACGGCCGCAAGGUUAAAACUCAAAGGAAUUGACGGGGACCCGCACAAGCGGUGGAGCAUGUGGUUUAAUUCGAUGCAACGCGAAGAACCUUACCUGGUCUUGACAUCCUGCGAACUUUCUAGAAAUAGAUUGGUGCCUUCGGGAACGCAGUGACAGGUGCUGCAUGGCUGUCGUCAGCUCGUGUCGUGAGAUGUUGGGUUAAGUCCCGUAACGAGCGCAACCCCUAUCCUUAUUUGCCAGCACAUCAUGGUGGGAACUAUAAGGAGACUGCCGGUGAUAAACCGGAGGAAGGCGGGGACGACGUCAAGUCAUCAUGGCCCUUACGACCAGGGCUACACACGUGCUACAAUGGGAAGGACAAAGAGCCGCGAAGCCGCGAGGUGUAGCUAAUCUCAUAAACCUUUUCGUAGUCCGGAUUGGAGUCUGCAACUCGACUCCAUGAAGUCGGAAUCGCUAGUAAUCGUAGAUCAGAAUGCUACGGUGAAUACGUUCCCGGGUCUUGUACACACCGCCC